UACGGGGGGAGCAAGCGUUGUUCGGAUUUACUGGGCGUAAAGGGCGCGUAGGCGGCCUCCGCAAGUCAGUUGUCGAAAUCUCCGAGCUUAACUCGGAAAGGUCACUGAUACUGCGGGGCUAGAGUGCGGAAGGGGCAACUGGAAUUCUUGGUGUAGCGGUGAAAUGCGUAGAUAUCCGGAGGAACACCGGUGGCGAAGGCGGCUUCCUGGACCGACACUGACGGCUGAGCGCGAAAGCUAGGGGAGCAAACGGG
rnacentral:rRNA from 1 species